rnacentral:rRNA from 1 species
AAGAGGUCCCGCCUGCCCUGUGACCACAUGUUUAACGGCCGCGGUAUUUUGACCGUGCGAAGGUAGCGCAAUCACUUGUCUUUUAAAUGAAGACCUGUAUGAAUGGCAUAACGAGGGCUAAGCUGUCUCCUUUUUCCAGUCAAUGAAAUUGAUCUGCCCGUGCAGAAGCGGGCAUAAAAACAUAAGACGAGAAGACCCUAUGGAGCUUUAGACACCAGGACAGUCUGUGUUAAUUAACCUUAAUAAAAAGACUAAACCAAACAGUUUUUGUCCCUUUGUCUUCGGUUGGGGCGACCGCGGGGAAACAAACAACCCCCACGUGGAAUAAAGGCACCCCCUUUAAAUGUAGGGUUACAGCCCUAACAAACAGAAAAUCUGACCAACAAUGACCCGGCACCGCCGAUCAACGGACCCAGUUACCCUAGGGAUAACAGCGCAAUCCUCUUUUAGAGCCCAUAUCGACAAGAGGGUUUACGACCUCGAUGUUGGAUCAGGACAUCCUAAUGGUGCAGCCGCUAUUAAGGGUUCGUUUGUUCAACGAUUAAAGUCCUACGUGAUCUGAGUUCAGACCGGACA